UUUUGAAUUGAACUCGAUCAAAACUAAUGUAGUUUUGAAUUGAAAGAGGAGCAACCUAUACUAAUGACAAACGGAACACCUUGUUUGUUUCUCUAAAUUCAUUUUGAUUGCUUAGUUUCUCUAGCCGCACAACCGCAGUCCCCCAUUCCUCCAGUUGUUCUUCGAUAAUUUCGCUUCGUACGUUACUCUUCGGUCGUUUCUCUUCUGCGUUUUACUGCAAACAUCUCUUCGGUCGUCUCUACUUCAGUUCGGUUGGUGUCAACAGCUCGUUCUCUGCAGACUUAUUUUUUCAGUUCUGAUAUGUGGUAUGGUUGGAUCAUAGCUUUCUCAAGUACUUCGUUCAAUUCUGGACAUGUUUCAGGAGGAAUGGUCUUAAAUCUGGCGGCAAUUGUUUUCUCAGCACAACAUUUCCAGCAAAAAUGAAACAGAGAAGAAUAGCGAUGUGGGUGCCCUUAAUAUAUUUAAGAAAAACUUAGGCUUUUCAUUUAUUAUUAAUUUUUUUUUUUUAAAGAUGCUGAUAAUCCCUCAACCACAAUGAAUUUCUGUAGGGUUCAAAAUUUUAUUUUGCUAAUUUGAUAUGAUAUUUUAUUUUGAUAUCGCCAAUAUUGAUUUUUUGCUUCUUAAUUCUUGCACGUUGCAUGGAUACAAAAGUUUGGCUUGUUUUCCUCUCUUCAAAUUUCAAGCUUAGAACUACCCAAGAAUUUGAGUGAUUUGAUACUAGAAUGUGUCAUUUGAUGGAGCAAUUUAAUUUUAUUUGGUUUAUUGUGUCGUCAUUUUUUUUUUUUUUAACUUAGUUGCAAUGUGUUGUAAAUUACUUUUUUUUUUCUUGUUAUUUUGUAUUAUUAGUGACCGACAAAAUCAUAUGAUGUGAUUUGAAAACAUGUAUUGUUAACUUGAGUUUGAGCUCGAACUCGAGCUUAGUAAAAUAGCUUAUCCAGCUUGAGGUAAUAAAUGAAUGAAGUUUGAGUUU